UGAAAUCAUCACCCUUAAUUACCACCAGAAUCAAACAUAAUACUGAAUUGGAAUUAAGUUAUUAAUUGGAUUAAAUGGGUCAUUUUUAGAGGCAGAUUGAGCAGGAUUGGGGGGGGGGGGGGGGGUUAUCACUGCUCUGAUAAGCAUUACAGUAGCUUAACAGCCGAGCGUUCAAGUCCACUCAAAACAAUGCUUAUGUAGGGCUGAGAGUCACACACAUAAAAACGUUAUGUGUUGCUUGUUCUAUGGUUGUUGGAUAAAUUCUAUAUUCAGAAAAGAUUUGGAUAGCUAUUUGAAAUUCUUGUUCUUAUAAUUCCGAAUGCGGGGAUUCUUCUUUGAGAGGAAUCAAAAGUUUCUGUAUUUAGGAAAAACCCUGGAUUGUGAUUUAAUACACCUGCUAUACCAAAAUUAUACCAAUACAUAAAAAGAAAACAGUGUUGUAGAAAGAAAAAUUGUAGGGCUAAAACAAACAUGAUGGUUACCAUUACAGAUUUUCUUUCUCUCACUCUCCAGGAAGGUUUUUUUUAAUUUUCAUCGCAAUCGUCGUCCUAGUGACGGCUGGGAUUUACUACUACAAGAUCCGGUGUAGAUCCUACGGACGGUGCAUUAGGACACUUCAGCAACCCCAUGUAUGAUCCUUAAGACUGAACUUUGGACUUUAAACUUUAGAAGUGACCCCCUUAACCCAAACUGUGUGCGUGUUGGUGUGUUUGAAAUGAGUUCAGGGUGGACACGUUUUAAAAGUGUGAUUAUUAGCAUGUGGCUAGAAGGCCUUGUGGCUGGUAAGCAGGGACAUUUUUAGGCAACAUAUACUAAUGCUGCUCAUGUUAGUUUAAAUGGCAACAAUAACCCUGGAUGAAGACGUAUUUGUGGGAAGUGUCUGAGAUUUCAAUCAUUAGUUUAAACUAUGUGUGCUUCUCAUAUGUUAAUUUGAAGAAGUGGAUGGUGUAGAGGAGCAGAGAAAGAUUCUGGUCUUAAACAGGAGACCCUUGCUUUUCAUUCUGCCGAAGUGUCCUUGAGCAUAACACUGAUUCCUCUCCUGCUCCUCUCCCGUGGAGGAACCAAAUGAACACAUUUAU